AUUAUCAUUUGUGGUACAUUAUAUGUAUCAAAAUGACGUGUUUUUAAUAGUGCUUUAACAUUUAAUCAUAGUGACAGAAAAGGGAAAGAAAACAUAAUUAACCUUUAAUUCGAAUCUAAAGUCACGUGGAUGGAAAUUCGUAGGCGUUACGUUUUGGCUGUCGGUCAGGAAUCGGGAUGCAUUGAUAAGUGAAUAUUAUAGGUUUUCUUGAACAAAAAGGGAGUUUAAGUGUUGAACAUGCUCUCAAAGGUCGGAGGGACGGAAACACAUGAAUAUGUAAAAAGAAACAUAUGAAAUGAAAAUGAUGUCACACACGCUAUUGGGCGCUACAUAUCCUCCGGACAGACGAGGGGUGCUGAAAGAAGGUCAUAUCUUAAAGCAUCACACCUCAAAAUUCGUGCUAAUUCUCAUGGAUAUCUAAAAGUAUAACUUUGUGAAGUAACUAAAAGGCAGCAAUUUAUACAUUACUGACAAUUAUCAAAGGAGGUCAAAAUAUGCAAAAUGGCACUAAAUGUUUUAGAAAUGCUGUAGAAAUAUAGUUAAAGUACUGAAAAUCUGUCAUUAAUUGCUCGAAACAUUAUUAUCAGAAUGU